rnacentral:rRNA from 1 species
GGUUGAUCCUGCCAGUAGUCAUAUGCUUGUCACAGAGAUUAAGCCAUGCAUGUCUAAGUAUAAACUAUUUUAUACGGUGAAACUGCGAAUGGCUCAUUACAACAGUUAUAAUCUACUUGAUCGUACUUUCUACAUGGAUAACCGUAGGAAAUCUAGGGCUAAUACAUGCUAAAAGUCCUGACUACCUCCGGGUGGAAGGGAUGAAUUUAUUAGAUUAAAAGCCAAUGUGGAGUUCGCUCCACUCCCUGGAUGAAUCAUGAUAACGCAUCGAACCGCGGGUUUAUCUCGUGGU